GUGGGGCAAUUUUGGACAAUGGGGGCAACCCUGAUCCAGCCAUUCCGCGUGAGUGAAGAAGGCCUUCGGGUUGUAAAGCUCUUUCGCAAGGGAAGAAAACUUAUGAUCGAAUAAAUCAUGAGGUUGACGGUACCUUGAUAAGAAGCACCGGCUAACUACGUGCCAGCAGCCGCGGUAAUACGUAGGGUGCGAGCGUUAAUCGGAAUUACUGGGCGUAAAGCGUGCGCAGGCGGUUUUGUAAGUCGGAUGUGAAAUCCCCGGGCUCAACCUGGGAACUGCGUUCGAAACUGCAAGGCUAGAGUGUGUCAGAGGGGGGUAGAAUUCCACGUGUAGCAGUGAAAUGCGUAGAGAUGUGGAGGAAUACCAAUGGCGAAGGCAGCCCCCUGGGAUAACACUGACGCUCAUGCACGAAAGCGUGGGGAGCAAACAGGAUUAGAUACC
rnacentral:rRNA from 1 species